rnacentral:snoRNA from 1 species
GGUCGGUGAUGAGUUUUGGCAUGUAUUAUCUGAGUAUAAAUGUGAAGAUUAUCACUUUAGCUCUAGAAUUACUCUGAGACCUG